AAGACUUACCCGAUUAGCUGAGAGGUGGUGCAUGGCCGUCGUCAGUUCGUACUGUGAAGCAUCCUGUUAAGUCAGGCAACGAGCGAGACCCACGUCCACAGUUGCCAGCAUACCCUCCGGGGUGAUGGGUACACUGUGGAGACCGCCGCUGCUAAAGCGGAGGAAGGAGUGGGCAACGGUAGGUCAGUAUGCCCCGAAUCUCCCGGGCUACACGCGGGCUACAAUGGUUGGUACAAUGGGCAUCUACCCCGAAAGGGGAAGGAAAUCUCUUAAAGCCAAUCGUAGUUCGGAUUGAGGGCUGCAACUCGCCCUCAUGAAGCUGGAAUCCGUAGUAAUCGCGUUUCAACAGAACGCGGUGAAUACGUCCCUGCUCCUU
rnacentral:rRNA from 1 species